GGGCCCGUGGCGCAGUAUGGACAGCGCGGCAGCCUCCUAAGCUGUAGGUCGUGAGUUCAAAUCUCACCGGGCCCGCCA
rnacentral:tRNA from 1 species